rnacentral:rRNA from 1 species
GUGGGGAAUUUUGGACAAUGGGCGCAAGCCUGAUCCAGCAAUGCCGCGUGCAGGAAGAAGGCCUUCGGGUUGUAAACUGCUUUUGUACGGAACGAAACGGUCCUGGUUAAUACCUGGGGCUAAUGACGGUACCGUAAGAAUAAGCACCGGCUAACUACGUGCCAGCAGCCGCGGUAAUACGUAGGGUGCGAGCGUUAAUCGGAAUUACUGGGCGUAAAGCGUGCGCAGGCGGUUUUGUAAGACAGGCGUGAAAUCCCCGGGCUCAACCUGGGAAUUGCGCUUGUGACUGCAAGGCUGGAGUGCGGCAGAGGGGGAUGGAAUUCCGCGUGUAGCAGUGAAAUGCGUAGAUAUGCGGAGGAACACCGAUGGCGAAGGCAAUCCCCUGGGCCUGCACUGACGCUCAUGCACGAAAGCGUGGGGAGCAAACAGGAUUAGAAACCCGAGUAGUCC